AGUGGCGCACGGGUGAGUAACGCGUGGGUAAUCUGCCCUCGAAUCUGGGAUACCCCGCGAAAGCGGGGCUAAUACCGGAUGAAAUCCAGUUAGCUUUGGCUAUAUGGAUCAAAGGUGGCCUCUGCAUGCAAGCUACUGUUUGGGGAUGAGCCCGCGUACCAUUAGCUUGUUGGUGGGGUAAAGGCCCACCAAGGCGACGAUGGUUAGCUGGUCUGAGAGGAUGAUCAGCCACACUGGAACUGGAACACGGUCCAGACUCCUACGGGAGGCAGCAGUGAGGAAUUUUGCGCAAUGGGGGUAACCCUGACGCAGCAACGCCGCGUGAGUGAUGAAGGCCUUCGGGUCGUAAAGCUCUGUCAAGUGGGAAGAACCCAUUCCGGCACAACAAGCCGGGGUGCUGACGGUACCACUGAAGGAAGCACCGGCUAACUCCGUGCCAGCAGCCGCGGUAAUACGGAGGGUGCGAGCGUAAUUCGGAAUUACUGGGCGUAAAGGGCGCGUAGGCGGACGAUUAAGUCAGAUGUGAAAUACCGGGGCUUACCCCCCGGAAGUGCAUCUGAUACUGAACGGCUUGAAUAUGGGAGAGGGCAGUGGAAUACCUGCUGUACACGUGACAUGCGUAGAUAUCAGGAGGAACACCGUUGCCGAAGGCGACUUCCUGGACCAAUACUGGACGCUGAGGCGCGAAGGCUUGGGGAGCAAACAGGAUUAGAUACCCUGGUAGUCCACGCAGUAAACGGUGAUCACUAGGUGUAGCGGGUAUUGACCCCUGCUGUGCCGGAGUUAACGCAUUAAGUGAUCCGCCUGGGGAGUACGGCCGCAAGGUUUAAACUCAAAGGAAUUGACGGGGGCCCGCACAAGCGGUGGAGCAUGUGGUUUAAUUCGACGCAACGCGAAGAACCUUACCUGGAUUUGACAUCUCGGGAAUCCCGCGGAAACGCGGGAGUGCCCUUCGGGGAGCCCGAAGACAGGUGCUGCAUGGCUGUCGUCAGCUCGUGUCGUGAGAUGUUGGGUUAAGUCCCGCAACGAGCGCAACCCCUAUCUUCAGUUACCAGCGAGUAAAGUCGGGGACUCUGGAGAUACUGCCCCGGUCAACGGGGAGGAAGGUGGGGAUGACGUCAAGUCCUCAUGGCCUUUAUGUCCAGGGCUACACACGUGCUACAAUGGGCUGUACAGAGGGAAGCGAUCUCGCGAGGGUGAGCCAAUCCCAAAAAGCAGUCCUCAGUUCGGAUUGGAGUCUGCAACUCGACUCCAUGAAGCUGGAAUCGCUAGUAAUCGCGGAUCAGCAUGCCGCGGUGAUACGUUCCCGGGCCUUGUACACACCGCCCGUCACACCAUGAGAGUUGGCUGUACCAGAAGUCGUCGGGCCAACCACGCCUUUGGCGUGGGGGCAGGCGCCUAAGGUAUGGC
rnacentral:rRNA from 1 species